rnacentral:lncRNA from 1 species
AAUCAAACAAAAAUAUAUUUAUAUGACCAAUAUAGCAUAUUCAACACAUAUUACCAAUAGUCAUGAACACAUAUAUCCAAUACAUGUUACCAAUAGUAGCAAGUUUUAACCGUACAUAUACAUAGUUUCAUCAAUAUUACACAGUUUCAUCCAUAGGUAGCAAGUUUCACAAGGUCAAAACAAAAACUAAAUACAAGCACUCCAUCAACCCAAGCUUCCGUGAUCUUAAGCAAAUCUGUAAAAUGAGAAAGAAGAAAGUUAGAAGAAGACUAGAAGAAGAAGAUUAUUAUGAUGCAACUAAAAUGUGAAGAUUAUUAUGAUGCAACUUAUAUCUGUAAAAUAAAAUUGAAAGACAACUUAUCAACUAUUUGGACAUCGUUCUCUGAUAAAUUUCCCAAAACAGUAAGUAGACUAAGAAUAAAACAGAACAUAUAAGAAAGAACUCACACAGGAGUACAUACAUUUUGACAAUGGCAUACAUAUUUGUAAGAGUCAAGAAAAAUCCCAAAAGGGUGGCACAAUGCCCUUUGCAUCACCGCAAAGGGAUCAUACAAAAUGAGCCUCCCUGGUGGCUAGAACCACAACAGAUAAUGUGUACGUAGCCGAGGAGAACAAAUCCUCCAAUCCCUUAGAAAUCCAAGAAUACAUGUGGGCCUCCCAAGAAAAGGGGAUUGGUUAUUUCUUUCUCAGCGUGAACUUCAAAAUGCAUUGAUCCCACUGAAUUCAUUGGUCAGUAUACUAAAUAUAAAAUCCUUAUUUUCCAAACAAGAUCCUGGAGAAAAAAUGAUUUGCUAAAUGAAAACAACACUUGACUGAACAAGGAAAAGAUGUGUGAAGCGGCAUGUGUGCCUUAAUGUUCCAUUGAGAACAGACUGAGCAAAUGCCCAUUGAUCUCCCCUCUGGUCUAUGGAAAAUGAGCACAUGUGCUCCAAUGAGAACAAAAUGACCAAAUACCCAUUGAAAAAGUGCCUUUUCGCACAUGGGAAACUAAUAAAUAGAUAGAUAGACACUAUUUCCCAAAAUUGAGAUUGGCACAGAAAAUAUGAGGUGCAUAAGAAGAGCCACUUGCUGCUGCACAUGACACACAAAUAUGAGAUGCCUAAGAAGAAGCAAGAAGUAGACAGUGAAAAAUAACAAAAAAUAAGCGAAUGAGGAGGGACUUACUGAACAAAAUUGUGCCUUUAGGUACUGACUGCAAGAUCAAAGUAAGAGAACAGAAAGAGAAUCUGAAGACAGACUAAACAAGACUGGAAAAACUAAAGAGAGACUACAUGAGAAGAAAUGAAGAUUGAAACUAGAAACCAAGACUAAGAAAGAGAGAAUGAACAAAAGGAAGGGAAAAUAAAGAAGAGAAAACGGAUGAAAAUGAGAACCAGAGAAAACAUAAAAAAUAAUGAGAUCCUUAGGGAAUUGGAAAAACUGAAAAACUGAAAGAAUGAGGAACUACAAACUGAUAAAACACUAAUCAAAUACUAAUGACAAAGACCUAUGAGGAAUGGGACUGAAAAGGUAUGCAAAUCAUGCCACUCCCUAUUUAAAAAACCUGACUGAAAACUGAUACAAAAUUGAAAACAUGGAGACUGAUACUAAGAACGAAACCCACAUGCUCAUAGACUGACUGAAAAUUGAAUGAAAUAAAUUAAACAGAAAAUGAACUAUAUAAGAAACUGAAUUAGAGACUAAAAACUGAGUAAUGAUUUUCUCAAUAAUGACAAAUUGAGCAAUGAUGGAAUGAAUGGUCAGAGACCGAGGGACUAAACUCUAGACUCACGCUUGGACUGACUAAAAAUUAGUUAUCUAACAUAAAAAGAAUGAUCAAUAUCAAGAUAAUGAUAACAAAUACUGAAGUAACAAACUGAGUAAUGAUUUUUUUUCAAUGAUUAAAAACUGAAAGUUAUCUAACGUCAUUCAUAAAAGAAAGCUAUUGAGAAAUAGUAAACAAACGAAGAAUGAUGCAAGCUUAAGAACUGAGGACAAACGAUCACUGACUCAAUCAAAGACAUGUGAAAAAAUGAUGAGAAAAUAACUAAUGAGAAGACAUGAAAAAGGGUGAAAUAUUAAUAGAAACUGAAGACUAGCAGACCGACAAACUGAAGAAUGGGAUACUGAACCGACUAACUGAAGAAAAUUAAGUUGAAUGAUAGAAAAAACCGAAUGAGAAAAAUGACAGUGAUUGAAUAAUUCAAAAGAAGAAAAAUAUAACUAAAGAAAUAAAACUAACUUGAAAUUGACUAAAGGAAAAUAUAAUGAAUGACAAAUUCUAAAUGAAAUUAAACUGAAAACUGAGCAAAAAGCAGAUCAAAAGCAACAAAAAGAAACUGAAUACUGGAUUUCAACAGUGCUAUCCCUCUCCACGGCCCCCAAAUCAGCUUGUGCUUGCAAAAAAGCAUUUCACAGUCAAUAUGCCCAGCCCAUGCCACCAACCAGAUGGAGU